rnacentral:lncRNA from 1 species
GAGUUCGACGGAGAGGACAAAGGUUUCUAGGGUUUAAGUGAUCGAACUGCUGAGGGAGAGAAGAAGAAAGAUGAGUUCGAUAGAGAGAAGAAUGUGACUUGACUUUGAUGAAACGCGUGAUGGAUUUGUGAAUUUUGCGUGAUUUUUUUUGUUACAUAUUUAUUUUUUAUUUAAUAAAGAAUCCUAUAAUAACGCUUAACAAAAAGCGCUAACAAAGGACCACCUCUUUAAUAGCGUUUAUCCACAAAGUGCUAUUAAAUGCCUCCGUUAUUUUCCAGUUAGCACCCUAUAAUAGCGUUUGUUUAAAAAGUGCUAUUAUAAGCUAUAUCUAUAAUAGCGCCCGACCCUAAAACGAUGUUAUAAGUCGCUGGGUGUAAUUUUUAAUAGCGUUUUACAAAAAAACGCUAUUAAAUUGGCGAUAUUAUAUGUCAAAAUUGUAGUAG